AAUAAAGAUAAAGUUAUGUAUUAUUAAUAUUAAAAACAAAUUAAUAUUUUGUUUAUUAAGUUAUUUUACACAAAACUUACCGAUAACGCUCAUAAUUGACUAUAUUUCUGUAAAAUUAAUAUUUAUAAAAAGCAGCUUGUCGUAGAAAGCACUUCUAUGAUCUUUUUACUUGAAAAGGUUACAUUAAAAGAAACAAUCUAGAAUCAAUUUUUGUUAGUAAGUACGUUCAUUUUACAUAGCGUAUUAAUAAUGUUAUAAUCAUAACAUUUAUAAUGUACAUUAAUUUGAUUUAAUUUUGUUGUCAAACAUAAAUGAUUAUUUAAGAAAAGGAUAUAUAAUCCUUCUUGGAUAGAUGCUGGAAAAUAAGAUGUAAAUGUCGUAGUCGUGGGCGUAGGGUAAGACAGAAAAAUGUUUACAUAAAUAAUACGAAAAAAAUAUUGUUUUUACGUCUUUCUAUUUUAUGUUUUUUUUUAUUCUAUAUCCACAUGCAACUACGACACUCACUCUGCCAUAAAUUUUCUAGACGAUCUUUAUUACGUAUUGUAAUUUAUAUCAAUCUUAAAUAAUUAUUUAAUGCAAUAAAUCUUAUUUUACUUAAGGUACUUACCAUUAAGAUAUUACUAACUUAUGAAUUAUUACACGUGAUUACGUAGACAUUAGAUACUAUAAAAAUGUGACACAGUAAUCGAACGUCCGAGUACGCACAUACAAGAACAUGCUCGCCGUGUCUAGCGUCUGCUCAACUGUGUUCAACGUACAUACUACAUGCGCAGAAAGAUUUGGCAUCGAGCUGCGACUAUGGAGGGGAAAAAGAACUAAUGGCAACAACCAAUCGUAUGUGAGCGCUUAUUAAGUCUGUUAUAUGAUUAGUUCUUGCUUGUAGUUCUUCUUCCUCCGUCCACAGCCGCGGCUUGGUGCCAAAUCUUCAAAACUGUAGCGUUGUACACGUGAGACGUGAGUGCGUACACAGCGAGCACGUGCUUUGACGUGCUUGCAUGUGUAAACUACGACGCGAAUUCAUCGCAGGACAAUUUCUGGGACGCGCAAUACGUCACGGGGACACGAUGCACGCUGACUGAGAUCGCACGGGUUCCUCGCGAGUGAGAAAAAGAGAAAGAGAGAGGAGUGAGCGAAGAAGAGAAGGAAGGAAAAAAGAGAAAAAACGAAGCGGGGAGGGGAAACGCGAGAGUAACAGAAGUGCGUGUGGCCGGUGUGGCGGUUGACCUGCCGCCACAUGCAGGACAGCCUUCCCCCCCUCCCCCUUAGGAUUUCUCUCGACUUGCAUUUACACUCCGUCGCCAAGAAAAUAAUUAAGGUAAACUUUUGUCGGAUAAUGCAUUAGGGCUCUAGAUAACCUUUCGAGUUACACUGCUUUAGUUCGUGUUGACGCUUAUCCGAGCCUCUUGUUUUGUAUACAGCAAUGCCUACAUUUUUUCUUACCUUUUUUUUAAUGACAAUGUUUUAAUAUAAUAUUUGUAAGUAUCGAGCUUUUUUGUAUGUACAGGUAAAGUUCUUGAAUAAAUGCAUUGUGUUAAUUUUAUGAUUAAUAUGAAGUGAAGAUGAUUAUAAAUGCAAAAGAUACUUACAUUGAUUAAUCUUAUUUAAUUUUUUACGUAUUUUUACUCUAAAGGUUAUUUAUGAUAUAAAUGUGUAUUAUGUGAAUGUUGAUCUGAAUAAUUUAAUAACUUUAUCUUUUUUUUUAUUGUCAGGAAAGCAGAAUGGGUUUCAGCCAACAGUUUGCUUAGAUGAAACAACUACUUGAAACACAUCACCUGUGCUUGAACGCAAGAGUUUCAACAUAAGAGUUAAUGUACACUUGUUUAAUUAAAAAUUCUGUUCAAUAAGAAAAAUCGAAAUAUUGUGCCACUUUUUUAUGAGAUCUAAUGUUAAUAUAGUCAUUUAGUUCUGCAUAGGCUUGUUUAGCAGUAUAUUAAUGACAAGAAGAUUUUAAAGUGCUUUAGUCUAGCAACAUUAUCUCACAGUAUAUUUAACAUGUAUAAACCGAUUUUCAGGAAUUCAUGAACAAUUAUUGGUAAGAAAUUUAUCUUUUAUAUAAUGAUAUAUGAAUACUUUUAUAGAAUAUUUUGUUUAGAGUAAAUAAUUUAAUAUUAAAAUUUGCAUGAAAAUAUUGUUGUAUCCCUCGUCUCGGGAUACAGUGCGGGAUCGCUGCCGAUGACUCCUCGGGAUCAGGUUUCCAAAAGAUAACGCCGAGAGUUAAUAACAAGAGAUAUAUAUUUAUUCUUCCUCUACACUUUCUUGAUCGAACCCGAAAGAUGUAUAUCUAAGUACAGUUGGUAGCUUCGACUAGCGACAUAUACUCGUCGCUAUUAUUAUUAAUUAUGAGCCCGCUCGUUCUCUUUCCGCGGGCCUUUAUAUACUCAGCUUUUUGGCUUGUUACCAAGGGAUGUCACUCGCAGUCACGGGCCUUCGUCCCGUGCACUAGCUUAGCCAGCAAUUGCUAGCUAGGCGCAUUCCAUCGGAAAUCAGGAGAUUUCGGGUGGCAAAAUGAGUAGUAACCGGAUAUGUUGUCCGGUGCGAUGUCCAGUGUGAAGGCCGGUGCGAUGCCCGGUAGCAAGGCCGGACGGUGAUAUUACGCGAGGUGUCACUCGACACCCUUAUCGUUAUUGCAAGUAAAGUUUGUGAUAACUUGUAUGACGAAACGUUUUAAAAAAGAUAUUUUGGAUUUAAGUGAUCGUCAGUUCAACCGUCGAAUAAAAAAUGAAAUGGAAAAAGCACUUGGAUAUGUUUUCGAAAACAUAAAAGAUGCUUCGUAUCACAUAAUAUGCAUGGAUUGAUACAUGUUGUACAAGAUGUAAAAACAUUUGGAUUUUUAGACAAUUACCAUAAUAAAGAUACAGAAAAAUUUAUUUUACAAGCUUGUUUGAAGUACGUUAAAAUUUGUAUAAUAAAGAAUA